GAGUAAUGUCUGGGAAACUGCCUGAUGGAGGGGGAUAACUACUGGAAACGGUGGCUAAUACCGCAUAACGUCGCAAGACCAAAGAGGGGGACCUUCGGGCCUCUUGCCAUCAGAUGUGCCCAGAUGGGAUUAGCUUGUUGGUGAGGUAACGGCUCACCAAGGCGACGAUCCCUAGCUGGUCUGAGAGGAUGACCAGCCACACUGGAACUGAGACACGGUCCAGACUCCUACGGGAGGCAGCAGUGGGGAAUAUUGCACAAUGGGCGCAAGCCUGAUGCAGCCAUGCCGCGUGUAUGAAGAAGGCCUUCGGGUUGUAAAGUACUUUCAGCGGGGAGGAAGGUGUUGUGGUUAAUAACCGCAGCAAUUGACGUUACCCGCAGAAGAAGCACCGGCUAACUCCGUGCCAGCAGCCGCGGUAAUACGGAGGGUGCAAGCGUUAAUCGGAAUUACUGGGCGUAAAGCGCACGCAGGCGGUCUGUCAAGUCGGAUGUGAAAUCCCCGGGCUCAACCUGGGAACUGCAUUCGAAACUGGCAGGCUUGAGUCUUGUAGAGGGGGGUAGAAUUCCAGGUGUAGCGGUGAAAUGCGUAGAGAUCUGGAGGAAUACCGGUGGCGAAGGCGGCCCCCUGGACAAAGACUGACGCUCAGGUGCGAAAGCGUGGGGAGCAAACAGGAUUAGAUACCCUGGUAGUCCACGCCGUAAACGAUGUCUACUUGGAGGUUGUGCCCUUGAGGCGUGGCUUCCGGAGCUAACGCGUUAAGUAGACCGCCUGGGGAGUACGGCCGCAAGGUUAAAACUCAAAUGAAUUGACGGGGGCCCGCACAAGCGGUGGAGCAUGUGGUUUAAUUCGAUGCAACGCGAAGAACCUUACCUGGUCUUGACAUCCACAGAAGAAUCCAGAGAUGGAUUGGUGCCUUCGGGAACUGUGAGACAGGUGCUGCAUGGCUGUCGUCAGCUCGUGUUGUGAAAUGUUGGGUUAAGUCCCGCAACGAGCGCAACCCUUAUCCUUUGUUGCCAGCGAUUAGGUCGGGA
rnacentral:rRNA from 1 species